rnacentral:rRNA from 1 species
UACGUAGGGGGCAAGCGUUGUCCGGAAUCAUUGGGCGUAAAGCGCGUGUAGGCGGCUUGAUAAGUCCGCUCUGAAAGCCCGGGGCUCAACCCCGGGAGGCGGGUGGAUACUGUCAAGCUCGAGUCCGGAAGAGGCGAGUGGAAUUCCUGGUGUAGCGGUGAAAUGCGCAGAUAUCAGGAGGAACACCAAUGGCGAAGGCGGAUCUCUGGGCCUUACCUGACGCUCAGGCGCGAAAGCUAGGGGAGCGAACUGG